GCAGUAGCCAUUGUUGCAUAGCUACUUCAAAGCCAUUCCCAGCUUGUUCCACUUGCCAACACAACCCAGCUCUGUCCCGGUGUGGGACACCCAUGUGCAUCGGAGGGGCUGGGCUUCACCACCAGGGUGAACCUUCCCCUAAGCCAAUCAAGCCUCAUUGACCUUUCUGCAAUUCCUCAAACAUGCCAACCUCAUCCCAGCCUUACCCUUCUGCUCAGGUGAUGACUGAAUACAAUUCAUGAUUUUCAAAUCCUAGAUUGCUUGGAAAUAGAUAUAAAGAAUGUUAUUGGGGCAAUUGAGGGAAUUUGAGUAUGGGCUGUGUAUUAGGUAAUAGUUAUAUCAGUA
rnacentral:lncRNA from 1 species